UUUGGACAAGAUUAUCCCUCCUUUUAAGAGAGGAAGCUUAGUUUACAGAGUGUGGCCAUUCUCGUCCUCGCCCUCGACUGGAGGCGAAUCAGCGAAGCUUCAAACACUGACGGGGACUAGCUCUGCUACGAAUUUGUGUUUGAAUUAGGGAGGCUCAAUGUUGUCCCCAGAGGAUUUAGGGUUUAUAGUUGGAAAAUUGGUAUUUUUUGUGUUUGUUUGUGCUUUUUUCUUAUCAAUGAUUGUGAAAUGUCUUGUUGCAAUUGUAUUGUACCAUUAAUUUAUCAGUUCAAUUUUUAACUGAUUUGUGGAAUCUUGUGUUUCUGGAGUCUUGCUAUAUAUGAAUAUGUUUGUCAUCUAGGUUAUAUAUGUUCUGUUAAGGAAAGACAUUCUGUUAAAAAUGUUGUGGGCACAAGGGAAAUGGGAAAGGAGUGGCUAGCUUAAAGACAAGACUUAGAUGGUAAAAUUAGUGCAGUAUACUGGCUGAAUUUUUCUUCUUGAUUAUGCACUCAGAGUGACUUGUAUGCUGGCAUAUGUAAA
rnacentral:lncRNA from 1 species